UGCGGGCUCAGCCCCGCCCCCGGCCGCGCGGGGCGUGUCCGGUGCAUCCAGCGCAACCCCGCUGAGCGCGGCCCUCUGCCGCGGGGGACGCGGAACCGGGCUCCGGCGUCACUCCGCGCUGCGGGGCUUUGAUGCGGUUCGGAGCCUGCGGUUACCGCAGACGCUCACACUGGGUAACGCAGAGCCAGCCCGGGACUCCUACCUGAGCCUGGCUCUGUUGCCUCGUGCAGAGCUAGGGCCGGGGCCUGGUUUGUGAGAUAAGGAAAAAGCCCCCCCCCCCCCCCUUCUUACCCCUGACACUGGGGGGAGAAGGGUUACAGCAAGGUUAUGUGUGGCGUUGUUUGUAGCCGUGUCCGCCCCAGCACAUGAGAGAGGCAAGAUCUUUUUUCCAAGUAAAAGAAAAGUUGAAUACAAGAUCUCAUAAAAUGGAUGAAGUACUUAGUCUGGUUACCAAGUCUCGUUUUGAUACUUGUUGAUUUGAGUUAACUUGAAAUAUUGGGCAAAGUCUGAGAACUGAAACAGAAGCAGUGCUAGAAAGCUACUAUAACCCAUUUGCUAAACAGCUCUGUUGGUGUUUGUCCAAGUGCUAAAACAUUUCUUAUCUCAGAAAUAUUUGACACUGGGCAAUGUGCUUGUCUACAGAAUGCCAAAAGGGAAGAGGCUGGCAAAAUCAGAUUUCUGUGUGCAUGCCACCAUGGUGAAGAAGCCGGAGCAAUAAAUCAGAAUGGCUUUUCCAGUACCAAAGACUACAUUCAGAGAAGCCCAAUCAUGUUGAAGGAACUAACAGCAAAAUCAGAUAAAAUACAAAACAUCACUGAUGAAAAAAUUGACACUCUGGACACAUAGCAAAUGCCAUACUGGAUCAGACACCUGGUUCAUGUAAUCCAAGGAUCCCAUCUUUGACAAUGGCCUUCACCAGAUGCUUCAGAGGAAGGUGUAAGAAAUGCCACAAUAAGCAGAUAAUAGUUUGCAAAUUUUUAGUGUAUUCAUAAGAAUGGCCAUACGGGGUCAGACCAAAGAUCCAUCCAGCCCAGUAUCCUGUCUGCUGACAGUGGCCAAUGCCAGAUGUCCCAGAGGGAGUGAACCUAACAGAAGCCAGUAAUGAGGUCAUUAACAGCUGUGUCUUCAGAAACCUAAAAAUCAGAAUGGGAAUUACACUACAAGAAAUUCUGACAUCAAACUAGUCAGCUAAACUUCAUUCUUUUGUUCUGACAUUAUAGAACUUGUGAGCUCCAUGUACAUUGCAGCACAUUGAUAUUAAAAUAUUUAUACAUA